UAACAGGCCCUUUUCAGGGCCACCCAUUUUGUCUCGGAAAAGCUA
rfam:Lingula anatina scaffold37, whole genome shotgun sequence.